rnacentral:rRNA from 1 species
GACGAACGCUGGUGGCGUGCCUAAUACAUGCAAGUCGAACGAGAGCGACCGGUGCUUGCACUGGUCAAUCUAGUGGCGAACGGGUGAGUAACACGUGGGUAACCUGCCCAUCAGAGGGGGAUAACAUCCGGAAACGGAUGCUAAAACCGCAUAGGUCUUCGAACCGCAUGGUUUGAAGAGGAAAAGAGGCGCAAGCUUCUGCUGAUGGAUGGACCCGCGGUGCAUUAGCUAGUUGGUGAGGUAACGGCUCACCAAGGCCGUGAUGCAUAGCCGACCUGAGAGGGUGAUCGGCCACAUUGGGACUGAGACACGGCCCAAACUCCUACGGGAGGCAGCAGUAGGGAAUCUUCCGCAAUGGACGCAAGUCUGACGGAGCAACGCCGCGUGAGUGAAGAAGGUUUUCGGAUCGUAAAACUCUGUUGUUAGAGAAGAACAAGUGCUAGAGUAACUGUUAGCGCCUUGACGGUAUCUAACCAGAAAGCCACGGCUAACUACGUG